UUGACAGUGUAAACAUGGCGAGCCUUGCAGAUGUCGGGUGGAAACUCUUGGAAUUCAAAUCCCGAUCAAAAAGAUCAGAUUUGUGAUUUAGCUGAGAGAGACGCUUGGCCUUAAUUUCACCUUUUGAGAAUGGCCGGCUCAGUGUCUGCGACUGCCCGGCCUCAUCGGAAAGUUCAAAGAUUUGGAUCCAUCUAUGAACCUCUCAAGCUGUCCAUUCUCCAGCAUGAGGACGAGCCCCUAUGGGAGAAGCUGGACCGCUACUACAAUGCCG